rnacentral:rRNA from 1 species
CAAGUCGAACGGGAAUCUUCGGAUUCUAGUGGCGGACGGGUGAGUAACGCGUAAGAAUCUAACUUCAGGACGGGGACAACAGUUGGAAACGACUGCUAAUACCCGAUAUGCCGCGAGGUGAAACCUAAUUGGCCUGAAGAAGAGCUUGCGUCUGAUUAGCUAGUUGGUGGGGUAAGAGCCUACCAAGGCGACGAUCAGUAGCUGGUCUGAGAGGAUGAGCAGCCACACUGGGACUGAGACACGGCCCAGACUCCUACGGGAGGCAGCAGUGGGGAAUUUUCCGCAAUGGGCGAAGGCCUGACGGAGCAACGCCGCGUGAGGGAGGAAGGUCUUUGGAUUGUAAACCUCUUUUCUCAAGGAAGAAGUUCUGACGGUACUUGAGGAAUCAGCCUCGGCUAACUCCGUGCCAGCAGCCGCGGUAAUACGGGGGAGGCAAGCGUUAUCCGGAAUUAUUGGGCGUAAAGCGUCCGCAGGUGGUCAGCCAAGUCUGCCGUCAAAUCAGGUUGCUUAACGACCUAAAGGCGGUGGAAACUGGCAGACUAGAGAGCAGUAGGGGUAGCAGGAAUUCCCAGUGUAGCGGUGAAAUGCGUAGAGAUUGGGAAGAACAUCGGUGGCGAAAGCGUGCUACUGGGCUGUAUCUGACACUCAGGGACGAAAGCUAGGGGAGCGAAAGGGAUUAGAUACCCCUGUAGUCCUAGCCGUAAACGAUGGAUACUAGGCGUGGCUUGUAUCGACCCGAGCCGUGCCGAAGCUAACGCGUUAAGUAUCCCGCCUGGGGAGUACGCACGCAAGUGUGAAACUCAAAGGAAUUGACGG